UUCUUUUGGAUUGUUAUUGUUAUGGGUUGACUGGUGAUCUGUGACAUGCUUAUUCUAGGGGAAAUCCUAAACUACUGAACUGCAAGGGUCGUAAACAUAAAUUAGUUAUCGGAUUCUUUAUAUAAGGAGUUCGGGUGUUGUAUUGUUUUAUUGCUUGUAUAUCUCUCAACUCGCUAUGAUUGUUGUAUGUAUGUCUAUGCCGGUUUCUUUGUGGUUGGUUCCCAUUGCCUUCUGUUUUUUGAUGACACAUGAAUGUUGGUUAUCAAACUUUAAUCCAACUUUCUUGAGUCCGAUAGUCUUCGUAAUGUAAUUGGUUAUCUGAAUGCUUUAUUUUUUUGUUACACACAUCAUCUUUGUGGAAUGCUCCAACGUUUAUUUAAGCUUGGCAAUUACUUUCUGAUACAAUUCUGUAUUCGUGAGUUUUCGGCACUGACUGAGAAAAAAAAAUCCUACUCGUGAUGUGUUUUUGUUGAUAGGCUAUACCAGUCGCCAUUCUUUUGGUAGCUCCUACAAUCAACAUCAUUCGAUUGAUUGGCCAAAUCAAUUUUUUCUUUAGGUUGAUUUCAUAUAUUAUGUGUCUCAUUCAAGUUGAAUGCUGUCUCUAGAUCGUUGUUAGCUGUUGGGCUAGACUGGAUGAAAUAGUGUACUGGACAAGUGCAUUUGACAUCAAUAAAUGGACCUGUAAUUUUUUUUAACAUGACUGCUUUUCUUGGCUAUGGUAAUAUUCUUUUUGUUGUUCUAAUUCAAUGUUUAAUAAGCGUCAUCAUUUAAUUGCCAUCAAUCUUGUUGUUCAUCCUUUCACCUAUGUGCUGUCUUCCCCUUGAUGCAACAAGCCUUGAUGCAUUCAUGUCA
rnacentral:lncRNA from 1 species